rnacentral:misc_RNA from 1 species
GCAAAAUAAAAAAGAAAAGAAGCAAAAAGAUAGAAGAAAACCGAAGCAAUUCUGCGUGUUAUGUGUUAUUGUUGUGAUCAGUGAUCAGUGAUCAAGUGAAAGUGAACACAAGAACGAGAGAGAAAGCCCAGUGAAUCAGUUCCCAUCGUAAAGGAUAGAAAUCAGAGACAAUGUCGGACAUUGAGGAUGUUUUCGAUGGCUCCGCCGAGGAGACCAAGCCCGAACCCGAUGCCCAGAGCAAAACCAGCGUGGUCACCGAGCACACCGAGGAGGUGAUUCCCGGCGAGACCGAGAAGAUGGUCACGGAGACCAUCGACGAGGACGGCGAUGUCGUGGAGGAGACCACCGAGGUUACCCGCAAAACGGUGAAGCGCACCAUGAAGAUCACCGAGACUUCUGCCACCACAAAGACAACCACGCUCACCACCCCCGCCAAACUGUAUGGCAAGGAUCUGAGUGAGUACGACGAUGUGGACGUGGAGAGCCUGCUGGCCCAGCUCUCGCCCGAGGAGAUAACCAUACUGGCCAAAGAGGUGGAUCCCGAUGACAACUUCCUGCCGCCAGACCAGCGCAACAGCUAUGAGUGCACCAAGGAAGCCACCGGGCCCCUCAAUCGCAAGCAGCUGAUCGAGCACAUCAACAAGCAGGCCAUCGAGACACCGGAUCAGCCGGAAUUCGAGCCGUUCGUUCAGGGCAAGGUUCGCGGAAAGAAGUGGGUCCCUCCGCCAAGGGAUGCCCGCGACAUCGAGGCCGAGGAACAGAUCGCCAUCGACAUGGGCGAGGAGUACGAGCACGCCCUCAACGAUGCCACGCAGGAGGAGAUCAUUGAUUUGGCCGCCAUCCUGGGCUUCCACUCGAUGAUGAAUCAGGACCAGUACCACGCCUCCUUGCUCAACAAGGGUCAGCCCGUGGGCCUGGGCUGGGAUGGCAUCACGAAAUCCACUCAGCAGAAGCUCUUCCCCAUGGAUCCGCCCAAUAGCACAGACGUGGAGGAGUCCAUCAAGCGGGUCAAGGACGAUGACUCCAAGCUGAUUGACCUCAACUUGAACAACAUUAAGAACAUCUCGGACGAGAAGCUCGAGCAACUGUUUGCCGCACUGCCUCAGAACGAACAUCUGGAAGUCCUCUCGCUGACAAAUGUGGGCCUCACCGACAAGACAGCCCUCCUGUUAGCCGCGGCCAUUGAGAAGAGCAAAACCCUGAGAGUAUUAAAUGUCGAGACCAACUUCAUCAGUCCGCCCGUGAUUGUUAAGCUGGUGCAAGCCCUGCUCAAGUGCCACACCAUCGAGGAGUUCAGGGCCUCCAAUCAGCGGUCUGCGGUGCUGGGCAACAAGAUCGAGAUGGAAAUCACCGACCUGGUGGAGAAGAACUCGUCGCUGCUGCGCCUUGGCUUGCACCUGGAGUUCAACGACGCCCGCCACCGAGUGGCCGCUCACCUGCAGCGCAACAUCGACAGAAUAAGAAAAGAUCUUGAGUUGCGACUGCAGUUCAGAUUUUUCAAUAAUCUGCAUAGAAAGUCGACAAGAAUUCAAUAAGCAGACCAGAAACCAAGCAACUAAACCAUUUUCAAAGCGUUUUGUAAUCUAAACCCAAAGAACCGAAGAAAAACAAGCACAUAACAACGAAAGAACGUGUAUAAUAUAAUAUAUAUAUAUAACAAGAAGAAGGAAGCAGGAGCACAAGUUUAAGCUAAAGAUAAAGCGGCCAACGAGCUUGCCAAAAAAUCUAUAUCUAUAUACUCUAGAGACUUUAACUAAGCAAAGCAAACUGAAACCAAAGAAACGAAGCGAAAUAUCAAACUAAAUACAUAUACCACAUAUAUCGAUAAAGAUCGCAGAUCGAGCAGACUCGUGAUCCAUGGAUAUAGCAUAAUACCCAUGAGCCACGAGUUAUCUUUUAAGUCGAGGCCUCUUCUAAAACUCAGCAGAAACCGUUUAGGCGCCACGUGUAUAAUUUUCUCUAACGCUUAACACAGGAAUUAAACUGCGAUGUAUGAUCUAAGUGAGUUCCCAGAUCCGAGUCAAAGUACAGCGAUAGUAGCAGAAAUCCAAGAAAUAACAAACGUAGAUUUGAGACACUUUUAUGAUUCAGUAAGAGCCACCAACUAACAGCAGAAAAUAAAGCAGCACCACCGACAAGAGGAG